UACAGAGGUGGCGAGCGUUAUUCGGAAUUACUGGGCGUAAAGGGCUCGUAGGCGGCCAACUAAGUCAGACGUGAAAUCCCUCGGCUUAACCGGGGAACUGCGUCUGAUACUGGAUGGCUUGAGGUUGGGAGAGGGAUGCGGAAUUCCAGGUGUAGCGGCGAAAUGCGUAGAUAUCUGGAGGAACACCGGUGGCGAAGGCGGCAUCCUGGACCAAUUCUGACGCUGAGGAGCGAAAGCCAGGGGAGCAAACGGG
rnacentral:rRNA from 1 species